rnacentral:rRNA from 1 species
UACGAAGGGGGCGAGCGUUGUUCGGAUUUACUGGGCGUAAAGGGCGCGCAGGCGGCUCAUUUUGUCAGGCGUGAAAGCCCCGGGCUUAACCUGGGAGGUGCGUCUGGGACUGGGUGGCUAGAGAUCGGGAGAGGUGAGUGGAAUUCCGAGUGUAGAGGUGAAAUUCGUAGAUAUUCGGAAGAACACCAGUGGCGAAGGCGGCUCACUGGACCGUUGUUGACGCUGAGGUGCGAAAGCGUGGGGAGCAAACAGG